CAGUCUUGAGGAUCUUUAAGAGCAGAACAAUGUACUUGUUUUUGAUUGAUGAAUGAGAAUCAUUUUCUCUCAAAUCUAUAAUUGUUUUCUGAUCAAAAAAAUUCUCAGAGGAAGACUACUGCGAACUUAGCUAGCCGGAAACAAGCUGAAGAGCGUGUUGAGAGACCAGUAGUGCGGAUUCAAGCCAUGUUCCGUCCGAAGAAGGCACAGGAAGAAUAUCGAAGGAUCAAAUUGACCCAUAACCAAGCAGGCUGUCUCAAAGAUGAUACUCUGGUAACUCGCCACCCUUUUAUUGGUCAGAAUUUUGGAAAUGAAAGCCAA
rnacentral:misc_RNA from 1 species